rnacentral:rRNA from 1 species
UACGUAGGGCGCAAGCGUUGUCCGGAAUUAUUGGGCGUAAAGAGCUCGUAGGCGGCUUGUCACGUCGGUUGUGAAAGCCCGGGGCUUAACCCCGGGUCUGCAGUCGAUACGGGCAGGCUAGAGUUCGGUAGGGGAGAUCGGAAUUCCUGGUGUAGCGGUGAAAUGCGCAGAUAUCAGGAAGAACACCUAUGGCGAAGGCAGCACUCUGGGACGGUACUGACGCUGAGACGCGAAAGCGUGGGGAGCGAACAGG